rnacentral:rRNA from 1 species
GACGAACGCUGGCGGCGUGCUUAACACAUGCAAGUCGAACGGAAAUGCCCUGCUUUUGUGGGGUGCUCGAGUGGCGAACGGGUUAGUAACACGUGAGUAACCUGCCCUUUACUUUGGGAUAACUUCAGGAAACUGGGGCUAAUACCGGAUCUGAUCUCCUGCUGCAUGGUGUGCGUUGUAACGUUUCGGGGGAUGGGGCUGGACUCGCGGCUUAUCAGCUUGUUGGUGGGGUAGUGGCUUACCAAGGCUUUGACGGGUAGCCGGCCUGAGAGGGUGACCGGCGACAAGGGGACUGAGGGAGGGAGCAGACGCGUACGGGAGGCAGCAGUGGGAAGUAUUGCAGAAUGGGGGGAAGCGUGAUGAAGCAACGCCGCGUGCGGGAUGACGGGCUUCGGGUUGUAAACCGGGUUCGCAUGUGACGAAGCGUGAGUGACGGUAAUGGGUAAAGAAGCAACGGCUAACUACGUG